AGACAGUCAGCACCGACUAUGACAUGUGUGAUCGACUCUACUUUGAUGAGAUCUCUUUUGAGGUGGUGAUGGACAUCUAUGAGCUCGAGAACCCUGAAGGUGUGAUCCUAUCCAUGGGUGGACAGCUGCCCAACAACAUGGCCAUGGCGUUGCAUCGGCAGCAGUGCCGGGUGCUGGGCACCUCCCCUGAAGCCAUUGACUCGGCUGAGAACCGUUUCAAGUUUUCCCGGCUCCUUGACACCAUUGGUAUCAGCCAGCCUCAGUGGAGGGAGCUCAGUGACCUCGAGGUGGGCUGGGACCUGGUGGGUUACCCGGAGGCUGGAUGAUGCUUGGGGGUAAGUGUGAACAACUCAGCUAAGCUCCCUGCCUCCUGUAGUCUGCUCGCCAAUUCUGCCAGACCGUGGGGUACCCCUGUGUGGUGCGCCCCUCCUAUGUGCUGAGCGGUGCUGCUAUGAAUGUGGCCUACACGGAUGGAGACCUGGAGCGCUUCCUGAGCAGCGCAGCAGCCGUCUCCAAAGAGCAUCCCGUGGUCAUCUCCAAGUUCAUCCAGGAGGCUAAGGAGAUUGACGUGGAUGCCGUGGCCUCUGAUGGUGUGGUGGCAGCCAUCGCCAUCUCUGAGCAUGUGGAGAAUGCAGGUGUGCAUUCAGGUGAUGCGACGCUGGUGACCCCCCCACAAGAUAUCACUGC
rnacentral:sRNA from 1 species